AGAACGAACGCUGGCGGCAGGCUUAACACAUGCAAGUCGAGCGCUGUAGCAAUACAGAGCGGCAGACGGGUGAGUAACGCGUGGGAAUCUACCCAACUCUACGGAAUAACUCAGGGAAACUUGUGCUAAUACCGUAUACGCCCUUCGGGGGAAAGAUUUAUCGGAGUUGGAUGAGCCCGCGUUGGAUUAGCUAGUUGGUGGGGUAAAGGCCUACCAAGGCGACGAUCCAUAGCUGGUCUGAGAGGAUGAUCAGCCACAUUGGGACUGAGACACGGCCCAAACUCCUACGGGAGGCAGCAGUGGGAAUAUUGGACAAUGGGCGCAAGCCUGAUCCAGCCAUGCCGCGUGUGUGAUGAAGGCCUUAGGGUGUAAAGCACUUUCACCGGAGAAGAUAAUGACGGUAUCCGGAAGAAGAACGCCCGGACUAACUUCGUGACCAGCAGCCGC
rnacentral:rRNA from 1 species